GAUGCACUGUGGAUGCUAUGGAUACACUGUGGAUGUCGUGGUUAGACGGUGGAUGCCGGGGCAGGACGGUUGGUGCCGUGGAUGCGCGGUGGUUGCUAUUGUGAAUGCUAUGGAUGCAUUGUGGAUGCCAUGGAUGCGAGUUGGAUGCUGUGGAGGCACGGCGGAUGACGUGUCUGAACAUAUGACGCCGUGGAUACAUUGUGGAUGACGUAAAUAGCCGGUGGAUGCACACCGGAUGCGAUGGAUAACUAGUGGAUGUGUACUAUGGUGGAGCCGUGGACGUACGCCGGAUGCGGACAUUGGGAUGCUCUGGAUGUAUCAUGGAUGCUUGAUGUACAGCGGAUGCGUUACGGACGCCAAGGGUGCUGGACGGACGUCGGAUAUAAUGCUAAGACCAUGGACAGUUCUGGGACCUGCCCCGGACAGGAGUGUUCUGGAUCGGCAGGAUGCUGGAAGUGCACCGGAUGUGUCUAGGAUCCCGGAUAGUUCUUGGAUCCGCCCCGGAGACGAGUGCUCUGGAUGCGUUAUGGACGCGGGGCAUGCUGGACGUACAUAGGACGUGGCGAGGAUCCCGGAUUGUUUUUGGACCCGUCCCGGACACGGGUAGCCCGGAUGCGAUUGGGACGCCAAGGAUGCUGGAGGCACAUAGGACGCGUGUGGGGACACUGGACAGCAUUCGGAUAACACCUGGACAGUAGGCCAUCCUAGUCGUGGACACUGCCUGGAUGACGCCGGACACCGCUGUUUGACUCUUGACACGCUGGAUAGGUUCUGGAGGGAAGCUAGACGUCUCAGGACAGCGUGGAUGUGCUCUGGAUGAACGUCAUGUCCAGAUCCUGUCCCGCAGUUCCAUCAGGGUCAUAUUGUGAAUUUGGCACUUUGUUAUAAGUGUUCAGCUUUGGGGCCUCCAGUCCGUCGUUUGGAACUGCCACAAAUCCUGUACAGCUAGGGAGCUUCACUAUUGGAAGUGGAGGAUUCAGCAUGGGAACAGGCCCACCAACACCCCAGAGGACGUCACGAGCAUUACAACCACGCCGCCGUAGGAUAUAAGUCUUCAUUACGCUCGCAGCUCUUCUCAAUGUUGUGCUCACAUCAUGAUGUAAUGUGUGUACAUAUGCAACGAUAAAAACAAAUUAGUAUUUAUGUAUUUUAUUUUGAUUUGUAUCUUGGUUUGUUUACUUUUGUACAUUUCUUUUGUUGUAAUUCUUUAUUUACAUUGCUAACAGUGUGUUGUCAAUACAAAGGAGAAGCUUUUGUAGUAUGUGUUAGGUAGAUUCUGAGAAAUUGAAAACAAAAUCAGUAUAAAUUUGUCUUGUAUCAGCUUUUUAUAAAACUGAGAUUUUAUUUUCUUUUAUUGUAAAGUAUGUUUAAAUUAUUCCAAACAUUUGAAAAGGAACUGCUCUGUUAUUUUAGCAUCCUUUGUGUGAUUUGUUUUAAAUGUCCUCAGGUAUAGUACAAAUUAGUCCAGGUAUCAGAUGUAAGGCCAGUUAAUCAACUCAUAGAUUUUAAAUUAGACCUCUAAUUUUAAUGUUGGUGGACUGACAGCUUAAAACAAAUUUUAAGUUAAAAAAAGGAGACAAUAACAUCAUGAUUCAGUUUUACAAAUCAUGUUGUGCUCUAUGUAUAUUUUGUUUUCUGAGACAACAAAGUUCUGGUUUUAUUCAAUUUCAUGGAACCUUUAUUCUGUCAAAGGUUAUGUUUGAACCCUUAUUUGAAAUCUUAUUUUUUUUCGCCUUUUAUAGCGCUAGAUGUGCCAUUUUCUCAUCAAUUGGGUGUUGUAUGAUGGCCUAAGUGAAACUUCCUGCAAUUGUUACUGUAGAAAAGUAAGUAGCUCAAAAAAAAAAAAAAAGAAGUUAUUUGCCUCCUAAUGGUUCUCCUACUGCAUACUAUGCCAGUUUUACUUGGUUUCUGUUUUUUUACAAAUAUGCUUCUAAGACUACAUGAACAAUCCUUUUCCAAAAGUUUUGUUAAUUGGAUUGAUUUUAUAAAUAACCUAAGGUCAUUGUCCUUUAACUACAUUCCUAGAUAAAACCGUGUCCCUCCUUUGAAACCAUUAUUGAACUGAAUCAUAUUGAUGUGCUACCUUAAUCUUCAAAUGCUGUCAAACUUGAGGUUCAGAAAAUGCAAAGUUUAAAAGACAAAUUUCUUGAAUGGUGUUAGGUUUUUGGUUUUCUAUGAAAUUCUUAAAAAACUUUCCACGGAUGUGCUUAACUAUCUGUUUACUUCUUAACAAGAUAACCUUAGUUUUUUAAUAUGCAAUGAAAGUUAGGGAUACAAUUCCUAAAAAAAAAUCAACAUGAAACUUCAGUAGAUACUUAGAUACGUGCCGUGUUAUUUUGUCAUUUUCAUUAUGGAAUCUCUUGGAAAGAUAUAUCUAUCUAUAUUGUUAAAACUGCUACUAUGUAUAUUAUGAGAUGAGACGCACAGUACCCUGACUUGCUUUUUGUCACAUCUCUAGUUUUAUCCUCUUUUGUGAAGAGAACCCAUCACUUGGACAAUACCUAGUAGGUGGUCAUACUUGUGAUACGAGGGAUUUUUUUAAAAAAAUUUCCCUUCAAAUCUUUUGGACACAUGAAAAUCUUUUCAAUGUUGGUUCACCAUGUACCUGACUUAACUUUUUUUCUAAGUGAAAACUUUAAUGAAUACGUUUUAGUGUUCAUUUUUUACUUGAACCAAAAUUUAGGUUCUUUGUAGUGUUGAUAACUUAUUCCAAGUUAUUUUACGGCCACCUAAUGGGUAGACUUGUCAAUUGCUAGGUAAAAUAAGGAUACUAUCAUUUCAAUUGUAAUUUGUAUUAAAAAUAGGUGAGGUGGCUAUGUCUUACUUGAUAUCUGUUGGGUUGGUGCUUGUAUAUAGGACAUAUUUUUUUUCAAUUUGAGAAAAACCCAAGAUCAUUAGCAGUAGCUAAUGUUCUUUUAUAUUUUAUACAGUAAUGAAAGUAGACUAAACAAAUAGUUUUGACACUUGGUUUAUGUUGUGUUGUCAUGAAAUACUAUUCUCAUCUCUUUGUCCAUUUUUCUGGAAGUUUCUUGCAUGGGCUGCAAACUACUCAAUUUGUCAUUCUGCAAAUUAUUUUUUUUUAGUGUUCAGUAUUUAUUCAGAGAAGUUUGUGAGUACUGUACCAGUAGUUAAGAGACUCAAAGAAAUAAUGAAGGAAAAACAUUUCCAAUCCAAACUAGUCCAAUAUUAAUUCAUUGUCCUAAAUGGAGGAAAGAAACAACAUGGUAAUUAAUUAUUGUUUUGUCUAUUUUUGAUGAAGAACUUAUAUUUUUAUUAUGUAAGCAACUUCAGGAAGCAAAGAAUUUUAACAUGAUAUCUUGUCUUGUUUGAAAAUAUAUGAGAGAAACCAUUGAAA